UCGAAACAUUGGUUCCCGUACGAUCAACGAAGUUAAGCAAUGUCAAGCUUGGUCAGUAUUUAGACGGGUAGCCGCUUGGGAAUUCCAGGUGCCGUAA